CUUUAAGUCUGUCUGGAAAGAUUGCGCAAUUCCAGCUGCCUGCAAGUCUGUGGUUACGUACAUUAUAAUAUAUCAAGAAACAUUUUGGCAACAGAAUUGUUUUGCAGGGAUGUUGCUUUCUUCUGGAAGAGCAGAGAGGCUGAGCUCUACAUGCCUUAAUCGGGGUCUCUGUCAUCUUAAAAUCUUUUUCUUCUGUCAGGGCAGUGUUAACAAACUAUAGCCUACAAAACAGAAUGCAUAUUUUCAAGAAUGCAUAAUUAUUUUCACUCUGAAAUUUGACCUUGAAUUUGUCCUGUUUCUGUUCUGGGGCACCAAACUGUUUUUUUUGAUUGUGUGCUACCCUGAGGGGGUCUGUCACCAGAUGUUUGCCCCCUCUUAGGGCUGGGGAGCACCUUUACAUUGUUCAUAGAUCCCCCUCCUGAGCCAGCUUCAGCCCUUUGUUUUAAUUCUGUAGAGGCCGCAUGUUGGAACACGAAACAAAACGUUUUCUUCAUUAGUGCUUCCCAUGUUACUAUUGGUCUGAGCCUGAUGGCUGCGUCCUACUCAACAUUUCCCGCAAAUGCACAGCACAUAAAUCAGCAUUGAGCAAUCAUAAAGCGAGCAGUCCGCACGAAAAACAUUUCUUUCUUGAACAUUUCUUCUGUGAACACAAAAUCUAGUUCCUUUGCAAAGGAAGACUACACUUAUUUGCAUUUUAAGUAAGCAGGAUGGAUAGUGUGAAGAAGUGAAUGUGACUUCCUUUAUAACAUAUUUUUCUCAUUCGCUUUUACAGUCUUGCAGAAUUUGACUAGCACUUCUGCAGUGAGGAUUCUCCUCUGACAACUUACUGCUCGCAGCAGUUCUUCUUUGUGUUACAGCUACACAUACACACAUUUGCUUAUGGAACAGCAAAGUGAGGUACAGCUGCCUGAAUGAGCCUGUGACAUUUUCUGGUUUCUUGCCUACGCUUCCAUUACUGCUCAGGAAGGCUUUUCAUAGUCUGCACUGGAAACAAGAGUACUUCAAUGAUUUCCACAGCCCUCUUCAUUCAUACCAUUGCCCAGAAGCAUCAAACUGUUCAGUUGCAGCUCUGCCAAGUCCUCUGCUGCCUCCUGUUCCUUACCUCUGCCCCCUGCGUCUUAGCGCUCAGCCAGCACAGGCUCCUGCGGUCCUCCGCUACAACAGAGGCACCUACAAUUAACCCUGAUGGAAAAAAAUACUUUCCCAUGAAGUUGAUGCAGGUCGGAGCACAGUGCACAGACCACGUCAAGGAACCCCUACCAACCACGUUAACUCAAGGUGUGGGAGCAGAACACAAGGGUCAGCCACUACUAAGUGACUGAGGAUCUCUCACUACGAAGCAACUAGGUGCUAAAAUGGCACAUGAAAUCUAACGGUAACAAGUGCAAAAUACACUGCUACAGCAGUAGGAGAAAGGAGAGAGAAUAUGAGCAAAGGGAAUGGGAUAAAGAAGACCCAAGGCAGCAGGAAUUAAGUUUGCUUAAAAGCAGAGAAAAACGCUAGGAGCUACAGAUGAACAAAAGUUCCAGUUUCCUUUUCAUACGCACAUAUAUUUAUUAGGACACUUAUUGCGGGUUUUGGAAUUAAAUCAGUGUUUGCUGUACCUGAAGGAAUCGGUGAUGAUCGCAGCACACAUGAU